rnacentral:rRNA from 1 species
GACGAACGCUGGCGGCGUGCUUAACACAUGCAAGUCGAACGGAAAGGCCCCUUUGGGGGUACUCGAGUGGCGAACGGGUGAGUAACACGUGAGUAACCUGCCCUUGACUUCGGGAUAACUUCAGGAAACUGGGGCUAAUACCGGAUAGGAAUCCUUGCUGCAUGGUGGGGGUUGGAAAGCUUCGGCGGUUUUGGAUGGACUCGCGGCUUAUCAGCUUGUUGGUGGGGUAGUGGCUUACCAAGGCUUUGACGGGUAGCCGGCCUGAGAGGGCGACCGGCCACAUUGGGACUGGGAUACGGCCCAGACUCCUACGGGAGGCAGCAGUGGGGAAUAUUGCACAAUGGGCGGAAGCCUGAUGCAGCAAAGCCGCGUGCGGGAUGACGGCCUUCGGGUUGUAAAACGCUUUCAGCAGGGGCGAAGCUUGUGGUGACGGUACCUGCAGAAGAAGCACCGGCUAACUACGUG